GACGAACGCUGGCGGCGUGCUUAACACAUGCAAGUCGAACGGAAAGGCCCUGCUUUUGUGGGGUGCUCGAGUGGCGAACGGGUGCGUAACACGUGAGUAACCUGACCUUGACUUUGGGGUAACUUCAGGAAACUGGGGCUACUACCGGAUAGGAGCUCCUGCUGCAUGGUGGGGGUGGGAAAGUUUCGGCGGUUGGGGAUGGACUCGCGGCAUAUCAGCUUGUUGGUGGGGUAGUGGCUUACCAAGGCUUUGACGGGUAGCCGGCCUGAGAGGGGGACCGGACACAUUGGGACUGAGAUACGGCCCAGACUCGUACGGGAGGCAGCAGUGGGGAAUAGUGCACAAUGGGCGGAAGCCUGAUGCAGCAACGCCGCGUGCGGGAUGACGGCCUUCGGGUUGUAAACCGCUUUCGCCUGUGACGAAGCGUGAGUGACGGUAAUGGGUAAAGAAGCACCGGCUAACUACGUG
rnacentral:rRNA from 1 species